ACUGAGCCACCCAGGCGCCCCUUCAAGUUUUGCAAUCCAAAUUAUUUCCAGUGGGUUAAAAGGCACCCCAAGGUAGAGUCCUUGGGAA